AAACACUCAGCACCCACUCAGCACCCAAUCAGCACCCAACACUCAGCACCCAGUGCCAAAACACUCAGCACCCACUCAGUGCCCAACACUCAGCACCCAAACACACAGCACCUAAACACUCAGCACCCAAACACUCAGUGCCCAAACAGCCCCCAAACACUCAGCGCCCACACAGCACCCACUCAGCACCCACUCAGUGCCAAAACAGCACCCAUUCAGCACCCACAGCACCCAAACACAGCACCCACUCAGCACCCAAACACACAGCACCUAAACACAGCACCCACUCAGUACCCAAACACACAGCACCUAAACACUCAGCACCAAAACACACAGCACCUACUCAGCACCCAAACAUUCAGCACCCACUCAGCACCCAAACACACAGCACCCAAGCACUCAGCACCCAAACACACAGCACCCAAACACUCAGCACCAAAACACUCAGCACCCAAACACACAGCACCCAAACACUCAGCGCCCACUCAGUGCCCACUCAGCACCCAAACACACAGCACCCACUCAGCGCCGAAACACUCAGCACCCAAACACUCAGCACCCAAACACACAGCACCCACUCAGCACCCACUCAGCGCCGAAACACUCAGCACCCACUCAGCACCCAAACACACAGCACCCACUCAGCACCCACUCAGCGCCGAAACACUCAGCACCCAAACACACAGCACCUAAACACUCAGCACCCAAACACACAGCACCCAAACACUCAGUGCCAAAACACUCAGCACCCAAACACACAGCACCCACUCAGCGCCGAAACACUCAGCACCCACUCAGCACCCAAACACACAGCACCUAAACACUCAGCACCCAAACACUCCGCACCCACACAGCACCCAACCACUCAGCACCCAAACACACAGCACCCAAACACUCAGCACUCACUCAGCGCCAAAACACUCAGCACCCAAACACACAGCACGCAAACACUCAGCGCCCACUCAGUGCCCACUCAGCACCCAAACACACAGCACCCACUCAGCACCCACUCAGCGCCGAAACACUCAGCACCCAAACACUCAGCACCCAAACACACAGCACCCACUCAGCGCCGAAACACUCAGCACCCAAACACACAGCACCCACUCAGUGCCAAAACACUCAGCACCCAAACACACAGCACCUAAACACUCAGCACCCAAACACUCCACACC
rnacentral:lncRNA from 1 species